AUGCCUAAUGUCGCUAUUUAUUCACCAAGGUGCACAGGAGACCUCGGGAACAGCCAAAACAGGUCAGACCAAAGGUCCUCUGCAGGUCAGAUGAAAGGUCCUCUCCUCUGUCACCAUCUCCAGCGAAUAUGCAGAGAARCGGUGCAAGCGCCACUGCCCAGAUCCUUCCCCUUGUGCACUUCCACGGCUUGGCUGGCUGGAGCUCAAGCAGACGCCGUACACCAGGUCCUCUCCGGCUCUGAGACCCUUGCGAUGAAGGGCUUUCUCAUUUUUGGCGGUAARAAAUCGCUGCAACGCCAGCCAAGUGAGAGAAAACACAUCGAGAGCGUCAGAAAUGCACAGCGUUGGCCCCGAUCCCACCGCCCACGUAUGCGGACAAACGCUUCGAUUCAGGCCCAGCACGUGCACCCCCCCGUAAUCCUCUGCAGAGCCAGGUUUAAAAUGCAAACAUGCUGACACUUCCUCAUACUUUUACCAGCAACAGUAAUUCUCUAGCAAAUGCCCRGGCUCGGGGGAGCGGCGUUGGCAUGCUGCGGAGCCGCACGCUUGGACUUUCAACGUGACAGCAGAGACUUGGUGAAAACCCAGGACAGCACCCACAGAGCACAAAGUCAGCAGCAAUCAAGGCACCCUGGAGGUAUUUUUUACCGUAUUUAUAUAGGAUCAUCUAAAGGUUUGUCAGGACCGUAGCAAAACACGAUCUCUGCAAGGAGCUCAUGCGAGGCCAUAGCGCGCAGCCAGGCGCAGAGCACUGCAAAGGAGUAGCAGCAUUUAGUGCCUGCUGCGGGCGAUUUGGAGGUUGUUUCAUAGGUUUCUGAUUAUUUCAUUACUUUCUCCUUGCCCUUGCUAAAUAACAGUGUUUGUCYACCCUGCAACCAAAUGUGUGACUCCUCACCCCAACUCGCAGGGACAGAGCUGGCACAGCCACCCGAGCGCCCCGCGCCCGUCACAAGCCUUUUUGUGGCCCCUUGGCAUCGCUGGAGGCAAUUCCUCGUUCUGCCGCAUUCGCACAAACGUGGAGGGGGGAACGCUCCGCUCUCCUGGCCCCGGGACGCGCUUCCACCACUUCGCCAGGUCCGUCAAACAAAAGCCAGCRCCGCCUCCCGCCAGGCUCCCGCGGCGAGCUGGAUGUGCACCCUGCCACACCGGCCGUUUGGCUGGCAAGCAAAUUAUUCCARUGCGAAACCACAGGGCCUGGAUCAGGGCUUCAAGCUCCCCAGUGAGCCCCCUGCUUCCAAUUCAGGACUGCUGGAGGCACGGACUAGCUGAACCACGAGCCGCACAGAGGUGCUCACCACGGUCACCUCGGUGGCCAGCUGGAAGCCUUAUUCUCCAAAAUGCCAAAUUCCCACUGUUUGUAGGUGCUGCCAUUUCCCAGACCAGCASUGACCGUACACGAGAGCCUGGGGACCCACCAAAGCCUCACCACAGACUUAAUAAAGAAAAAUGCUGCCUAAGGACUGCA
rnacentral:lncRNA from 1 species